AAUUAUUGUUGAUAAAAAGUUAUUUUAUUAAUUUAUCAAGUUGAAUUAUUCCAGUAUUAAAUAAAAAACUCAUAUCUAGUUACUUUUAAUCAAUUAAUAAUAUUUUUAUUUAUUUUUUCUUAGCAUUCAGAAAAAUGGUCGUGUUAUUAUAUUACAGAGAAGUUAUAUAUAGUGAUAUUCAAACAAAUCUAAGGACUACAUAUGGGUUCGAUUUUAUCUUGAGGUCUUGAGGCAAAGAUGAAAAGAAGAGGAGCUCUAUCUUUUUGCACUUCUCGCUCAAUUCAAGUAUUAAAUGUUAAUUAAUAAAAUCAAAUGCAUCGAAUAUUCUAUACUUACAAAAAUGAAAAAAAUUCUAAUUUUAACAUUUUCUUCUGUUAUUAAUCUGAAAACAAAGUGUAAAAAUAAUUAAAAUAACUUCACUUAAUUGUAAUUGAUCAUAAUUAAACGCAUACAAUAUUUUCUUUAUUUCACAUA